ensembl:lncRNA novel transcript
CACAUGAAUUUGUUUGCUACAUAAAGAGCUACAUUUAGAAGGCCAUGUGACUAGAAGAGAAGAUUUAUGCAAUUCUUAAACAGUUAUGGAGGUUAAGAAGUCCAUGGUCGAGGGGCUACAUCUGCUAAGAGCCUCCUUGCUGGUGGGGACUCUCCAAGAAUCCCAGGACAACAGAGAGCAUCACAGGGCAAGGGGGCUGAGUGUGCUCAUGUGCUCACUCAAGUCUCUCUUCCUUUUCUUACAAAGCCACCAGUCCCACUCCCAUGAUAACCCCUUAAUCCAUUAAUUCAUGAAUGGAUCAAUCACUUCUUAAAGGCCUCACCUCUCAACACUCUCACAUUGAGGAUGAAAUUUCAACAUGAGUUUUGGAGAGGACAAAUAUGUAAACUAUAGUACAUCACAAUAUCAAUAACACAAAAUGUAUACCAAAAGAGAGGUACAUUUGACUUUUGAAAAGCCAGGUUU